rnacentral:rRNA from 1 species
UACGUAGGCAGCAAGCGUUGUUCGGAAUUACUGGGCGUAAAGAGUGUGUAGGCGGUUUUCUAAGUUCGGUGUGAAAUCUCCCGGCUUAACUGGGAGGGUGCGCCGGGAACUGGAGGACUGGAGUGCCGGAGAGGAUAGCGGAAUUCCUGGUGUAGCGGUGAAAUGCGUAGAUAUCAGGAGGAACACCUGCGGUGUAGACGGCUAUCUGGACGGUUACUGACGCUGAGACACGAAAGCGUGGGUAGCAAACAGG